rnacentral:rRNA from 1 species
UUAAAUUGAAGAGUUUGAUCAUGGCUCAGAUUGAACGCUGGCGGCAGGCCUAACACAUGCAAGUCGAACGGUAACAGAAAGCAGCUUGCUGCUUUGCUGACGAGUGGCGGACGGGUGAGUAAUGUCUGGGAAACUGCCUGAUGGAGGGGGAUAACUACUGGAAACGGUAGCUAAUACCGCAUAACGUCGCAAGACCAAAGAGGGGGACCUUCGGGCCUCUUGCCAUCGGAUGUGCCCAGAUGGGAUUAGCUUGUUGGUGGGGUAACGGCUCACCAAGGCGACGAUCCCUAGCUGGUCUGAGAG